rnacentral:rRNA from 1 species
UACGGAGGGGGCCAGCGUUGUUCGGAAUCAUUGGGCGUAAAGGGCGCGUAGGCGGCCACGCAAGUCGGAUGUGAAAUCCCUCGGCUCAACCGAGGAACUGCAUCCGAAACUGCGAGGCUCGAGUCCUGGAGAGGGUAGUGGAAUUCCUGGUGUAGCGGUGAAAUGCGCAGAUAUCAGGAAGAACACCCGUGGCUAAGGCGGUUCUCUAGUACGGUACUGACGCUGAGACGCGAAAGCGUGGGGAGCGAACAGG